UAUAACGACAAAAACAUUGUCUCUAUGUCUGUAGCAGAUGAGUCAUUUAUUUAAAGUCGACAUAGAGAACAUGUCCUUGGUGCAUGAUUGGUUUGAUAUAUCUGGAAAUCGCAUUUGACCAAUAAAAUCGAAGUUAUGCUAACGGUAACCAAUAGCAUUGCUCAGAAAUAAGAUAUUUUUGAAUAUCAAUGUCAUAACCGGUAAACGAAAACAGAUGUGAUUCAAUCGUUUUCUUUCCAUCAGAAAUAUUGUGUUUCGAGCGAGAGUUUUUAUUUGUGCUAUAAAAGUGGUGUUUUGUUCUUUUGAUAAAGGUUUAUCUCCAGAGAAAGAGUAACGGGUCACAAAGCUUAUCAUAUAGGAGAGUAAGUGAAGGAUAAUCAUU